AAUCCUUUAACGAGGAUCUAUUGGAGGGCAAGUCUGGUGCCAGCAGCCGCGCUAAUUCCAGCUCCAAUAGCGUAUAUUAAAGUUGCUGCAGUUAAAAAGCUUGUAGUUGGAUCUUGGGAUCGAGCUGGCGGUCCGCCGCGAGGCGAGCUACCGCCUGUCCCAGCCCCUGCCUCUCGGCGCCUCCCCGAUGCUCUUGACUGAGUGUCCCGGGGGCCCGAAGCGUUUACUUUGAAAAAAUUAGAGUGUUCAAAGCAGGCCGGG